CUAUGCUUGGAAGCAAAUGACCCAAGAGAAUAAGGGUUGCAAAUAACCAUGUUCUGUUUCUGCAUUACUUUUAAACAGAAACAAGUUGCCUACAUUAUGGAGGAGUACAAUGAUGCCCUUCAGAGAGCUGAAAGAUUGUCUGUUGCCCGAGAAAAUUUCCUUACGGGAAAAAAUAAUCCUUCUAACUUAGUGACACAAGAAGACCUGACAAUUUAUACAAAGUGGUUUGUGUGUCACCUACAUUCACUCAGGACUAUUCACCACUACCUACAGUCACUCCAGUAUUUGCCUAUCUCCAAAGUGUUGAAUAUAGCUGUCAAUGAAGGUCCUGAGGCUGAUCAGGAGAAUGAAAGGGUCUGGGUCAAUGACAUCGACCCUAACAUCCGGGGUUGUACAUCUCCGGGCCCAGUGAAUACCAGGAUUUCAGGUAAGAAAUUAGUCUUCUUUCCACCAGGAUAAUGUGGAGAAAGAAGAUUGUGGUUUUGCACAUGUGUUAUUUUGUCACAUGAUCUUGCUUAAAGCUUUUCUAUAUACCAAGAAAGUUAUACCUUCUUAAUAAAUAAGUAUUAACAUAAUAUUUUCUGAUGGAA
rnacentral:lncRNA from 1 species